AGGGAAUCUUCCGCAAUGGACGCAAGUCUGACGGAGCAACGCCGCGUGAGUGAAGAAGGCCUUCGGGUUGUAAAACUCUGUUGCCGGGGAAGAACAAGUGCCGUUCGAACAGGUCGGUACCUUGACGGUACCCGGCCAGAAAGCCACGGCUAACUACGUGCCAGCAGCCGCGGUAAUACGUAGGUGGCAAGCGUUGUCCGGAAUUAUUGGGCGUAAAGCGCGCGCAGGCGGCUUCUUAAGUCUGAUGUGAAAUCUUGCGGCUCAACCGCAAGCGGCCAUUGGAAACUGGGAGGCUUGAGUGCAGAAGAGGAGAGUGGAAUUCCACGUGUAGCGGUGAAAUGCGUAGAGAUGUGGAGGAACACCAGUGGCGAAGGCGGCUCUCUGGUCUGUAACUGACGCUGAGGCGCGAAAGCGUGGGGAGCAAACAGGA
rnacentral:rRNA from 1 species